rnacentral:lncRNA from 1 species
AGCCAUGAUCGACCCAUGGGCCCAAUGGACGUAGUCCACUAAGCCUAAGCAAGCCUAUUAAUCUGACGUGUUCAUCAUUCCAUCAUAAACUGCUAAGUCACAUUUCAUAACUUAGAAUCAAAAUAAUACUACACAUUGCCAUCUCAUACUAGCAUACUAAACAAGUGUAUGUCCAUUUGUCUACAACAUGUAUCUUAACAAUUUACAUUAAGUUUGUCUAUACAUCUCAAAAAGAAGACUUGACUUCCAGCGAAGGGACUCGGACAAUGUACAACUACUGAAUGCCGAGACACCUACCAAAAAAUGGAUAUAAGUCUACAAGGACACCUCGUCCUAGUUACCUGCUGCCUCGUGAUCUGAAAACAUGAAGUUGAAAAUGGUGAGUAUAAACCCAGUGAGUGAACAAGAAAGGGAAUAAGCAUACCAUAAAGAAUCUUUAACGAAAUCAUGAUGCAUUCUUUUUCAAAACAAUGCAAUUUGUUUCUAUUCUUAUUAAAAACCCCUCAUCAAGCCCUUAAAUGAUUAAUCAUUUGAAAAUCAUGAACCCAUACAUAACGAACCAUUUGAAGAAUGAAAGCUUUAAUAAUAUGCAAGCAAGUCAAAUACGAUGACGAAUCUUCGCUGCAGCGACAUUAGGAUUAAGUUAUUAGCCGAACGAGGGUUUCUCAACUGGCCAAGGAUUUCUCACUAAACCUUCUCAUUUUAAACUUAACUCAUUUAGUCCUUAAUGUUGGAAGUCCAUGCUCUGAUAUGGUAGCAAAGAAGUGAAAAAUAGGGCAGCAAUUGGACAAGAUAAGAGGCAAAAACAGAAGAUUUUUCGCUGCAGCGAGAUUGAAUUUGCUGCAGCGAAAUUAUGACCCAGAAACAGAAUGUUUCUCGCUACAACGAGAUUGAAUCUCGCUAUAGCGAAAUUGUAACCCAGAAACAGAAAGUUUCUCGCUGCAGCGAGAAUGAAUUUUGCUGCUGCGAGAAGCUACUGUGCCAUUCUUGUUGCAGUGAAAAUGCAUCCUCGCUGCAACAAGUUUCUAGCCAGCCUACCCUUCCAAAACCUUAGAGUUUUCCCUGCAGCGAGAAUGAUUUUCGCUGCAACGAGAAACAGGGCACCAAUGAAAAAUUUGCUCUUCUUCCAAAGGAAAAACCACCCUACUGAAAUGUCCAAACCAACAUGAAACACAUAACAAUUUCCCAAGGUUUAACAUGUCAAGUUUCACAUGCAUUACAACCAUAAACCAUUAUCCAUUAAUUUCCUAUAACACACAUAUUUACAUAUGUAUAUAUGUAUACGUAUAUACCCAUCAUCAUCAUCACACCAUCCCAUCAUCAUCAUCACCAGCUCAUGCGCACUCCCUACUCUCACAUGGUUGGGUCAUCACCGGGUUAUGCGCACUCCCUACUUGCACAUAACCGGGUCAUCCUCGGCUUAUGCUCACUCCCUACUCGCACAUAGCCGAGUCAAUAUAAUUACACAACAUUAUAUUCAAACAUAUAUAUAUAUCAACAUAAUACAGCCACAUAGAAAUCCAUAAUAACCACAUAUCAUAACAUAAAACAUUUCUCAAAAGCUUGUUCCCAAGGCAUUCAUUUUUUAGAAAAGUUGUAUAAAAUCAUUCAAACAUUUUGUACAAAACAAUCAUAUUCCCAAAACAAUUUUGAUAGGUAGUCCACUCAUCGAUUGAUUGUAGAGCCUUUAGAUGACUCCAAUUCCCCUAAUUGUCCAAAUGGGAUGAUGAGGCUUCCUUAGAACCCUAGGGCUCCUUUGUAGUCAAAUUUUCUUCCAAUUGCUUCCAAAUCAAUGGGGUAAUUCUCUCUUUCUCUCUCUAAAAUUCCCAACUAGUGAGAGAAAGUAUGAAAAUAAACUUUACCAAGGGUUUUGAAGUGAAAGAGUGACAGAAUACUAGGUUUCUAAUCAAAAGGGCUCAAAAGUAUAAAAACUAGAGCUAGAGAGAGAAAAUUUUGUAAGCUACAUAUCAAGCUUCCAUGGAGGUUUUGAAGAAACGUGAGAAAGAAGAAGAAGAAGAAGAAGACAAGUUGCUGGAAAAUGGGAGAAGAAGCUGCUAGAAGAAAGUAUUUAUAGGCCAAUCUUAUCCAUUCCACUUAAAAUUACCAAAUUACCCCUCCACCAAUUAACUGACUCUCCUCCAAUCUUUUAUGCAAUUUUUUUGUUCUUUUGACACUAGGACAAGGUCCAUAAUGGUCUAAACAUACUCGAGUUCAUGAAAACAUAAAAUUUUAACUUGAGGUGAAAAAUGACCAUUUUGCCCCUACUGUGAAAAUCGUCUAAAUUUUUGGUUUCCUUUCCAUUUUACCCAUAAUUUCACCAUCCAUUAUGCCUUAGGCCUACUUAUACCAUAAUAUUGUUUAAAAAUCUUACUUUUAUGGGCUUACUAAGGAAAUGAUGAAAUUAUCCCUAAUCAGGGAUAUUGCGUAUACUUCCCUUUACGAGUCUAUAAAGGUCAAGGUCUCAUAGGUUUGACGUGAAGUGAACUCUAAAGUUUGACCUCGGGAGUUACCCUAUGUGCCUCUCCAAUCGAGGUACAUAUAUAUGACCAGGUUCUGUGCCCCUCUAAUAGGUUGGUCCAUAGAACCAGCCCGCUGCAGCAAGCUAAACCCACCAUACAAUAAAAAUUCAAUAGCAUGAUAUGGCAAUUUUAUCAUUAUCCAGCUUAUCAAGGCAAACAACAGUUUAUACAUUUCAACACAAAUACCAAUUCAGCCAUUCAUGCCAAUAUUGUCAUAAGCCAAUCAAUUAGAACCAUAAAUUCAUAAUACAUCAAAUGGUCUCCAAUUGCUCUAUUUGCAAAGCCAUCAUUCAAUUUCAGAACAAUUUUAUGAAAUCAUUUUAUUUAAACACAUUUUUGUUUAUAAAACCUAAAAAUUUACCAUUUAAACUCAUUUUUCAUAAAAUCACAAAAUUGGAUAAAAACCACUCUAGAUAAUUAAGACGAUAGUAAGGUUACUCACUAUUUCGAGAGUCAAAUUCCAAGUACUCCGAUUCUUGAUUCCUCAGGUACUAUCUCUUUACUUUUGCUAGAAUGCUCACCACCUAGACAUAAUGCACAAUAAGCCAUUUACUACAUUGUGCUAAAUUGUUAUAAAACCAAUUCAAGCUUUAUACUAAUGUAUGAAAUGGGAUGCAAAUUGUUCGGAUUACCGUCUAAACACGAUAUUCUACACAAAUUCAUUUGGGUCCCUAAUUAAAUCGGCAUUGGCCUAAUUCGACCUAUCACUUGAUUAAUUGGCCAAAAUGUCCAAUUCAACUCCAAUUAACUCCAUUUUUCUCCCAAUACUCCAAAUCAUUAAACACAAUUUAAAUAACUUGAAAUGUGGCAAAAUCAUCCUCACAUUUUCUCUUGAAAAAUUCGGCCAUUUUGAGUGCAUCAACACCAUGAUUUUUCUGACUUGAUUAUCACACCACAAAUCACUUGAAAUAAAAUCAAAAUCAUCAUCAAUAAUCUACAUGGAGAAUUCGGCCAAUGAUGGGUUAUGGGAGAAAAUGAAUUUUUCUUGUUUGAUUUUCAUGCUACACAUCACUAACUAAAAACACUAGAAUAUCUUAAAAUCUAACCAAAACAACCAUUAAAUCUUCUCUCUCUAAAUAAUCCUUCAUGAUAUCUUGUGAUUCAACCAUGAAAAAUGCAAAAUAAUGCACGGGAAAGGUAGAUCACAAGUCAAAAUCAAGAAAUUUUACCUUUGAUUGCUUGAUUACUUGAAAUCCACCAAUUUUUCUCUUGAAUUUUCACCCUAGGGUUCUUGUUCUUUCUUUUCUUCCUUUGUUCUUCUUUGGC